rnacentral:rRNA from 1 species
UACGUAGGGUGCAAGCGUUGUCCGGAAUUAUUGGGCGUAAAGGGCUCGUAGGCGGUCCAUCGCGUCGGGAGUGAAAAGCUGGGGCUUAACCCCAGUCCUGCUUCCGAUACGGGUGGACUAGAGGUAGGUAGGGGAGAUCGGAAUUCCUGGUGUAGCGGUGAAAUGCGCAGAUAUCAGGAGGAACACCGGUGGCGAAGGCGGGUCCCUGGGCCGAUACUGACGCUGAGGAGCGAAAGCGUGGGGAGCGAACAGG